rnacentral:rRNA from 1 species
GACAGAGGGUGCAAACGUUGCUCGGAAUUACUGGGCGUAAAGCGCGUGUAGGCGGUUCCGCAAGUCAGGUGUGAAAGCCCAGGGCUCAACCCUGGAAGUGCACUUGAUACUACGGAGCUUGAGUACUGAAGAGGAGAGCGGAAUUCCCGGUGUAGAGGUGAAAUUCGUAGAUAUCGGGAGGAACACCAGUGGCGAAGGCAGCCAUCUGGACCGACACUGACGCUGAGGCGCGAAAGCGUGGGGAGCAAACAGGG